CUAAUUCAAUUCCCACAAUUUUUGGUGAUUUUUCAAAGUCAGACCACUGCUGCUGCCCAAAACUGUUUAGUGUAAUAUAUUGAUUACCAAUUUGACUCUAAACUUUUAAUACAUGAUAAUUUCGUCCCUAGGCUUGGAAAAUGAAAUUCUUGCAAUAUAAUCCUUGAUUCAAGCCUAGUAUUUCUCAUACAUAUCAAUAACAGCCCAUAGAUUCCAUGAAAUUUUAGAAUUUCUCCAUGAUUUCAAUACUUUUCAAUUUAAUCCCUAAAACAUGUUUUCAUCUAAAAUUCUUUAAUAAAAC
rnacentral:lncRNA from 1 species